GGCCGACUAGCUCAGUUGGUUAGAGCGUCGUGCUAAUAUAGUAAAUCGUUUCAUGUGUAUUACGCGAAGGUCUUGGGUUCGAUCCCCACGUUGGCCA